CCUACGGGUGGCAGCAGUGAGGAAUAUUGGUCAAUGGGCGAGAGCCUGAACCAGCCAAGUCGCGUGAGGGAAGACGGUCCUAUGGAUUGUAAACCUCUUUUGCCGGGGAGCAAAAAGCGGUACGUGUACCGCAUCGAGAGUACCCGGAGAAAAAGCAUCGGCUAACUCCGUGCCAGCAGCCGCGGUAAUACGGAGGAUGCGAGCGUUAUCCGGAUUUAUUGGGUUUAAAGGGUGCGCAGGCGGAAUGUCAAGUCAGCGGUAAAAUUUCGGGGCUCAACCCCGUCGUGCCGUUGAAACUGGCGUUCUUGAGUGAGCGAGAAGUAUGCGGAAUGCGUGGUGUAGCGGUGAAAUGCAUAGAUAUCACGCAGAACUCCGAUUGCGAAGGCAGCAUACCGGCGCUCAACUGACGCUCAUGCACGAAAGCGUGGGUAUCGAACAGGAUUAGAUACCCCAGUAGUC
rnacentral:rRNA from 1 species